UGCCACCUGUCAUCCUCUUACUCCAUCGUUAGAAAAUUUGAGCGCUAAAAACACAAAACCUAUGCGGCUAUGCCUUCGCUCUUUUCCUUCACACUUUCACACGUCUUCAUAUCACAAACCCUAAUGAUGAUGUCUCCCUCUCAAGCAUCCAUGGCCGCCUUCGUAUCUACCGCAUCUGUGGCCAUCUUCUUUGUACCUGCGACCACCACAAGACCUCUGUCUUUUCAUCUCACGAUCCGGUUGUAGAAACCCUAAGAGGGGCCUGUAAUAACCCUUUCCCCUUCGUCUGUCGUCUGUUUUCUUUGUCGACCAGGACAUAUGCGUUAGUGGUUCUGAAGCUGGUUCGUUCUUUCAAGCUGCUCCGAAGGCAUUAUCUUUGACAAGUGAUAUAAGUUGCAUCAUAAUCUCGCCGAUUAUUGAGAGAGUUGAUAGGGUGAACAGAGGAAAAUGAAAGCGAAGAAGAAGCCAGCAACAAAAAAAGAGAGGCAAACAUGUUACACAGUUGAGCAGCAGCGAAGAUGCAAUCAACUCAUCCCCACUGGUCACUACUCCCAGCUGCCACUACUGGUCUACCUGGCUGCAGUGUGGCUACUGCAGUUGCGACCAGCCGGAUGCUUACUGACCACUACAACAGGUGACUUUUGAUGUUGAAUGAAACUUGAAGUACAGUGAUUAAAACUUGAAUUUUAAUAGUUUAAUUGGUCAUUUAAACUUGAUUGAAUUUUGGGGAUUACAAUUUGGAAUAAUCUUCUUCCUGUAUCUGGACUUGCUUCAAGGUAGAAGCUUCAAGUUCACAAACACUUAAAACGCCUCAACAAGUCCACUGUCAAAUCCAUUGAGGUGUAAAGUGAUGUUUCUGUGGACUUGACAAGAGAGCCUUUAAUCGCGCCAUCCUAGCUAUUCUCUACGAAAAACUGAUCUUCCUUCAGUUGAUCUCCUAAAAGUGUUACAGGUGGCACCAGGUUAGGAAUCCUACUUUCAUAUGUGUUCUUCUUUUGUCAUGUUGUUUAUUAACACAAAAUUGAAUUUAUAGGGUUCGUAUGUGGGGUAAUCGUCGAGGAUGUUUCGAAUAGAGCCAUGGAAUAUCCAUGAAACUGACUUUACCACUAGAUUACUCCCAGUCCGUGAAUAAACUUCUGACUAUCUUGACUGAAAUGCGAUUCAUAUUUCAGAUUUGGGCAUGUAUACUCGAUUUUGUUGAUUCGUAUUUUAUUUGCUUUUUCUCUGAUCUGCAAUCUAGGUUAGUAGACGUUCUGAGUUCCUAUGUUUUAUAUCUAUACGUUGGUUGUAUGUACAUUUAUUGGGUUUCAUAUUCUUUACUUUGUUUAAAAUUGAAUGGUUUGAAGACGCAUGCCAAGUGUUUGAUGAAAUGCUUCAAUAAAACUGACUUUUAUUACCCAUGUUUUUUUACAAUAUAAGUGGAUGUUUAGUUAUUCAGUACUUGAAACUAUUUAUUUUUUUCAAUUAUGGUCAAUGACUGAAUGUUUAGUUGUUCAGUACUUUGUUCCCUAGGUGACGAUUUAGGGUUUAUUUGUGUAUUUGGUUACUUACUGUGUGUAUAUUUAUGUGUGUGUGUGUGUGUGAGUGUAAAAGGAGCCUAACCAAUACUCACAUCUUGUACAUUUGAGAGAUAGAGAGAUCCAAAGCUGGUUGCGAGAUAAGUAGAAGCUACAAAGGAGCCUAACCAAUACCAUUUGUGCCUGGUUUAGAAAGUAAGAUCUGACACUAAUGUGAAAAGUGAAAUUUGGAAUGAAAAUAGUUAAAUCUGCAUCUGAUCUAGCACAUUUGGUUCUAAAAAGCAAAUGAAAGUUAUAUGGGGUUGAUUUGAACCAAUUUCCAAACCCAAAUGCAUCUUCUAAACAAUAAAGAUUACUAAAUAGGUAGACAUAAAAAAACUACAGGUGGCAAACAUGGGCAGAUUUGAUCACCAAUCAAAUCGGGUAACUAUUGGUUUCGGUCCUGUCAUCCCGUUUCCUUUUUAAGUAUUUUUUGUUUUACCAACCUGACCUUUUAUUUAAAAGACCAAAUCAAAUCAUUCACAAGAAAAUGGAUCAAAAGUGCCAAUUCCAUUCCUAAUGUUGAUUUGUUUACCAAGUGAACUUCUUUAUUAAUUUCAAAGUAAAAGUUUAUUACCCAGCUUAAAUUUCCUUAGAAAGGCCUUAGUUUUUUUCCUCUCAAAGUCUAUGGAAUUUUCUUUAAGAUUGUCUUUUCUUGAUGAACUGAAUCUGUAUCCGUUACCAAGAAAUUAAAUUCAAGGCCAUGAGUAUGGAUUUUUAGUUAUAUAAAUCUGAUUUGGAGUUUUUAGUUGUUUGGGUCUGCAUACCCGUCAACACUCCCAUGUUUCUUAUUCCAAAGCAGAAGUGACCUGAUCUAAACCAAAGUGCUUGCUGAAACAACUGUUGAAAAAAAGUGUGUUGGUUCAUAUGCACAUGAUACACUAUGAUUGACAUCACAAGUGACUAUCAGAAUUGAUUUUGUUUGACUUAUACUCAUAAUUUUUUUUGUGCUUUUUAUGUGCAAGUCAAAUGGGCGGUUUGCACUUCUCAAAAUUAUGCAAACAUGACUCACUUUUGGAACCUAGCACUUUGAACUCAAUGUCUUUAUAUUUCGGCUUAUUCGGUUUAGUCUUUCAUGGAGGACAACAUUGGCAGGAGGUUGCAACUGUGUGACAGUGUGAGUUACAUUCAGCACCAAAUCCCAUCAGUAAUUCCUUCAUAGAAGAGGUCCCUGAUAUAAAUUUACAAAAUGCACCUUGACUCUGUUUUGACUAUUUUUUUUUAUAGAUCGCUAAUAUUUUUUUUCAUUAACACCUACGGUUAAUGUGUGGAGCUGUGGUAUAUUACAUAUUUUGUUUUACGGGGUGGCCUGUACAAGUUUGCCUUGAAGGAGAGAACAAGAAAAAUUGAUCAAAAUAUUUUCGUCAUAAGGUUUGAGAUGCAAGUAGGGAACGAUUAUUAUUCUACACCGGUAAAUUCAUAUAUUUAAAACUUAAUGACGAUUUUUAGGUCAAACCGUAACCAAACCAUUAGUAGCGGUUUUUGCACAUCGAAAAUCGAAGUUAAGCUAUUAUUCAAAAUAAUGAAGAUAUAAGCAAAAGAACACCAGGUUUAGUUACAAGUUUAACAUGAUGCAUGUUAAAAAAGAUCACCCAGAUACAUGUUAAACAAAAGAAAGAACAAAAAGAACACAAAUUAAGAAAAUGCAUGUAUAACCAGGUGGGAGUUUGAAACUUAUAGAUUAACCAAUUUAUUUUUGGCUCCUAAUUGCAAGAUUUCCAAUUAUCAUAGUGGGCUCAGGCAAAAAUAAAGAAGCCCAGUUUAUCUAAAUCGUAUAUGUAAAAUUAAAAAUAAUUAUACAUAUCGAAUAUAUAAAAAACCAAUUUAUGUUAAAAUUUGCAAACCAAACCGUUCAUUAUGGUAUAUCUCUGAAGCCAACCGACCGUAACCAAAAGAAAUCAAGAAAAACUGGCCAUGACGCCAAAACCGAUGAACGGUUUGGGCGGUUUCACGGUUUUAAACCAAGGCGUGAACACUCCUAAUAUGAUUUGUUCACUCUUUAGUUUGGAAUUCUUCAUUAAUAUUCCUGCUCUAUUUACUUAGAUACGGAGUUUCACUAUGAAAUAUGCAUGUUGUCAAGUAGGGAUGAGAACCGGUACCGGUACUAAAUUCCCCAUAGCGAAUUAUUUGGAUACCCACUUAUUGGCGUUUUCAAUACCGGUAUUCUUGGUUCGGUAUAGUACUGAUAUUUUAUCGAAUUUUACCUCCUUCAAAUACUGGUAUGACACUGUACUGGUACCCAUAUUUGGCGAUUUUCUUUAACGGUACUAAUACUGAGCUCAUCCCUACUGUCAACAUGAAAUAAUCGCUUAAACAUAUCAAAAAGUUUGUUGAAAUUGAACGAAUGAAGAAAAGUAGGAAGUUGCUUCAAGUGUAUGAUUAAUCCAAUUUUAUUAUAUAGAUUUUUUUGUUUUAGUACAUAAAAGGUUAGAUGGUAUUCCAAUACCAAUUAAAAACUAUAAUAUCUUCUCAAGAACAAAAAUUUCCAUUCGUGUGUUAUGAGCAUUUAUUUUUCUUUAAAAAAAUGUAACAGUUAGUGAGCUUGCAAUUUCAUAUUGAUAGGAUCAUGUACACAAAUGAGCCGAAAGGAUGAAUUUUAUGAUGUUGUCUUUGUCUAGCAAAUGUUUUUUAACAUUAGAUGUUAUGUCUAAUCCACAUCUACACCCAAUGUGUUUUUAUAUAUUACUUUUUGUAGUGUAACUGUAGUUAAAUAUCACUACAAAGAGUGCCUGAACAAUAGCUUUUAGGCCACUUAAGGUCUUUUGGUGUGACUGGGAAUUUGACACUCCAACCAAGUGGUGUUUGUGACUUGUGUAGGUGAUAUUGACCCUUACUAACGGGCUAACUCAAAGUGGAGAUAUACAAUGGUAAAUGACAACUUUUGGACUCCAUUUAAAGAAUGAGUUUUUAGAAUUCUACAUGCCAAUUUGUUUACAAACCCUUUUAGAUAAACAAAUUAUGUGAGAUGUUUCCGGGUUUAUGGGCAUUUGUAUUUAUAGAUUUGUAAAUUGUAAAUAUAACAUUAAUCAUCUUUCAUUAUUACAUGUAAUAUGUUUAUUUCGUUAAAUUUAGUAUAUAUUUAACUUUCC